rnacentral:tRNA from 1 species
GGGAAUGUGGCUUAGUGGUAGAGUGCUUGUCUGGCAUGCAUGAAGCCCUGGGUUUGAUUCCUCAGUACCA